rnacentral:rRNA from 1 species
CCUACGGGAGGCUGCAGUGGGGAAUAUUGCACAAUGGGGGAAACCCUGAUGCAGCAACGCCGCGUGAGUGAAGAAGUAUUUCGGUAUGUAAAGCUCUAUCAGCAGGGAAGAAGAUGACGGUACCUGAGUAAGAAGCCCCGGCUAACUACGUGCCAGCAGCCGCGGUAAUACGUAGGGGGCAAGCGUUAUCCGGAUUUACUGGGUGUAAAGGGAGCGCAGACGGUGAGACAAGUCUGAAGUGAAAGCCCGGGGCUCAACCCCGGGACUGCUUUGGAAACUGCCUGACUGGAGUGCUGGAGAGGCAAGCGGAAUUCCUAGUGUAGCGGUGAAAUGCGUAGAUAUCAGGAGGAAUACCGUUAGCGAAGGCGGCAAUCUGGCUGGAAACUGACGCUGAGGUGCGAAAGCGUGGGUAGCAAACAGGAUUAGAUACCCCAGUAGUC